UUUUUUUUUUUUUCCACGCGCAAGUUUUAAAUUUCUAUAUUUAUGAAUCUAAAUAACGGAAUUGGUUCAUGUCAAUUUAUAAAUUCUGACUUUUGUCAAAAUUUUAAGUUUAUUUUUCUCGUCCAAACAUAAUAUUGAAGUUUUUGAAAAUUUCUACACAACCAGACAACAUAUGAAGUGGCAUGCAGAAUUAUGCACGGUGUGUUUGUGGUAAAGACAAAGGUUUGGAAUUUUUUCUGACCACAGGAAAACUUGAGAUUGGUUUGGCGUGUAAGGUGUGUGGAGAAUGUGAUGUAUGAGGGUUGUUUUGGUAAGCAAGUGGGGGUGUAUUUAGAUUAUUUUUUAAUUUAAAAAAAUAAGUGUGGAGUGUUUUAAGCAAAUGGGGUUUAUUCAACAAUAUAUGAGGAAUGCUAAAAAAAAAAAAAUUAUAAAAAAAAACUCAUUAUAAAAAGUGUUUUUUUCCCUAUAUAAUCCACUGGCACAAAGUAAUUGAAUUGUUGGGGUCAUUAGCGAAUUCAUAUCAGCAAAAAAAAAAAAAAAGAAGCUUGGACGAAAUCCUAUCAUGGAAUGGCACUGAUGUUAGGGUAAAUUAUACAAAAUUGCCUUAAUUAUGGAUCACACAAUAAUUUUAUAUCUCAUAUUUUAAAUAUUGUAAUGUCAUAUUUCAAUUUAUGAAUUCGUUGUAAUGUCAGACCACUAUUAAUCAAUCUAUCAAAUGUACUGUUAAGUAAUGACGUGAUAAAUGUAAGGUCCAUAUUUUUCUGACGUGGAAGAUCAUGUAGAUAAAAAUAAAAUUAUAAAAUAAAUCAAUUUAAAAAAAUAAUUUUAUGCCCAAAAAAUUAAAUAAAGAGGAGUGGGACCCACCCCAACAAACCAUCCAUCUUCGCCGUUCUUCCCCUCCAUCCGCCCUCACUUUCCUUCCUUCACGACCAAAACCACAGCCCCGCGCCUCCUCCGACACCCCUCCUCCUCGUGUAUUCCAAUUCCAACCAAAACCCACAAUUCAGAUUCAUGAUUUUACUUCGAUUUUGAAUUUCAUUUAAAAAAAAGCAUAAACAAAGUUUACUCAGAUGGUGCUUCGUCCUCUCGACGAGGGUUUUGCCAUCCUCACCCUUCUUCCCCCUCUAUUCCUGAGUGCAUGCCGCACCCCACCAUCCCCUUUCUUCCCUCACACUUAUUUUUCUCUCUCGCCACGCCAGCACCCAGAACCACCAUCCCACGUCGAUGAAUCCCGCCGCAAUUGAAGCUAGAGCCGCCAACAUAGUCACCAUCUCGGCAGCUACGAUCUCGAAAGGUUGACGACGAUGGUGCUCAGGAAGAAGAUGGACAUGGUUUUGGAGGUGAGCGUGGAGGUCUGGACGAGAAGAGAUCGUUGUCGGCGAGAGAAGUUGUCUUCGCACGCUACCGCAAAACUUUGGUUGAGAGGGUCAAGCACCACCUGGAAGAUGAGAGGUGUCGGAGGAGGAGCAAAGCUGUGGUUUUAGUGGUGAAGGAAGGAAUGAGGGGUAUAUGGAGGGGGAAGAAGGGCGAGGAUGGAUGGUUUGGUUGGGGUGGGCCCCACUCAUUUUUAUUUAAUUUUUAGACAAAAAUUAUUAUUUUUGUAAAUUGAUUUUAUUUUAUAAUUUUAUUUUCUUA